ACUAUAGCUAGAAAUUUGGCAGAUGCUUCAACCAAUGUGCGUCAUAUAAGUGCUGGAUUCAACCAAAAAGCUGCAGCUGUGUUAAUGGCCAGGAUGGUUUUGUGUAGAACAGAGACAGGUGAUGGGCCAGAUGUGUUACGAUGGGCAGAUUACAUGCUCAUAAAACUUUGUCAGAAGUUUGGUGAAUAUACAAAAGAUGAUCCAAACAGCUUCCGUCUACCAGAGAACUUCACUCUUUAUCCACAAUUUAUGUAUCACCUACGGCAGGUCACAUUUUCUCAAAAAUUCUUUUAAUAGCCCUGAUGAAACAUCCUACUACAGGCCCAAAUUCUGCUGUAUAAAGUCAUCCCUUCACAAAGUCAUAAGAACAUGUAUGAAUCUGGAGGGGUAAGUAUUAUAAUUUUGGUUUUAUAUUUUUAGUGUUUUGCUAUCAUAGCAUUACUUAAUUUUAAUUUUUUCAUUCAUACAGUAGGGGAUAUUCACAGAUUAGUAUUUGGUAGAAGCAUUAUUUGAGACAAAAAAUCUAAUUUUGGUUGAUUUUUUUAAUUUUCCGCACUUUUCAUAGAUUUCUUGUUUCUUUGCUUGCGGAUGAGAAGUGGGAAGAAGUUCAUAAAAAGGAUGAAUGUUUUUGACAGUGGUGCAAAAUAGUAAUUAUGUUCCUCUCUCUCCCACCCUCUACCUCCAUUUUUUUUGCAGUUAUUUGUAUCAGCUUUGAAGUACUUUAUGUGUGUGUUCAGAUUAGUGUUGUCUGGCUUUAGCGGACAGCUAAACUGUUUUUGUGGCUAAUAAAACUGUUUAGAAUGCAAAAUAUGAUGUAAAUGUGUUAUCUUUUUAAAGUUCCUGAAAUGAUUUGUUUACACAUUUUUAUACAUGUUUAUACAUUGGGACACUUUUUAGUCGAUUUAACAUUCAAAUGUUUGUUGUAUUUCCCUUUGUCUAAGUAUGUUUAAUGAAGUUCCCAUUUCCAACGCUCACAAGUGAAUUUAUGGUAGGCUCUCUAAUGGAAACAUUCAAGCAUUGUGAUCUUAAUUUGUUAUGUGUUGUUCCUGGCUAGGUUUUCAACAGUUUUAUUUUUGUUCUCAACAGGCGAUGCCGAUUCCAAAUGCGGUAGUGUUAUUUUAAUAUUCUUACUUUUUGGUGGAGGGAGGCUGUUUUGAAAUAUUUCAUGUUGUGUAUUUAGAUCAUGUUCUCCAGUUUGAGCACAGAAGUUGCAAUAAUAAUACUUUUCAUGUUUUCUGCUGACACAAUUAAAUUCAUGAGAACUAAGUACUUGGUCAUCAUAAGGACCAGGUGGCCCAUAAUACAUUGGAAAGUAUCAGAUAUUAUAACAUUUUCAACA